rnacentral:lncRNA from 1 species
AGGCAGUGCAAAACUACACAAUGUUCUUUAAUAUAUCUAUGUUUUUAAAAGCCUUGAUGCGAUCGUGCGGUUUAAACGUUUCCGCCUUGCAGUUGCGAAAUAAGAAAGCGGGACAUCUAUCCUAUCAUAUUCUUUGCUGUUUUGUUUUGCUAGUAGCAAAACAAAGUCAGACAGGUGGAAAACAAAUGGACGAUGAGUGUUUGAUCAGUAGUCGAGUAAAGCGGUCGCAUAGGAACUGGCCGGCCCUGUCGUGUUCCACCUUACCAGGAUGAGAUAUUUGUGUGUUGCGCUUUUUUUUAUUUUGCCAAGACAUUUGAAAAACAUAUCGAAUAGCACAUGCCAUUUUGAUUAAACUCCAUGCAGUUUUGGCGACACAUGCAGUCCGUCCGGCUCCGAAAAAUUGCGUUUCAGCGCUCGAAAAAGAUCAAGGCUUGAAGUGAAUUGAAGGGAUUCUUCCCCGCUCUGGUGUAUAAUUUCGGAAUGGCUCGUAAUUGGACGCAAUUUCGACACUGUUUUGAAGGGCUCGAAAUGAACAGCAGGAAGCACAAAGGGACAGAACAAGUACCGCGGGACUCUGAAUACGGUGCGCUGUUUAACGCACUGUAAUGCACGUACUCCGUCUGCAGUCAAUGAAUCAGUUACAGUAGCUGCGUUUCAACAUAAGCGCAGAUGUUGGCAAAACAAAUUUAUUUCUUGCCAUCCAACUCGCCAAGGUUGAAGCCAUUUUUACUUCUCUGCGUCUGGCCGCUUGUCUUAUAGCUAAAAGAGAAACAACAGGCCCGUCUUCAACAGGUCGAUGGCAUAUAGGCGUUCGCAUUACAGCCGAACAGCCCCCCACCAAAAAAAUGAACAUUUUUGAAUAUUUCGCCCGGGCAAACACGAGUACAUGUGGAGCCUUUUGCAUUCGAUCUGCCAUCAGAGUUCAAGGCUGCAAUGUAUACGUGAGGAAGAAAAAGAUGGAAAAAUCCAUAAUGGUUGUCUAAGUGGCUGAGAGAUGCGCACUUUUAUUUAUUUUGAAGGGGAGGUUGUUUAUGAUGACGGUAGUGACGCCAAAACCUACGCAACCAUUUUCUUUUUUCCCAGCCCAACCAAUCGUGUAAGCUCGAUAUAUACAUAUGCGUUUUUUCUUUUCCAUUUCCUUAGUCGGAGACGUGCUGUCAAUUAGCUCGUCGUAUUUUGUUUUGUGCGCAAUUUUUUUUUUUUUUCCUUUUCUGUCAUCGUUAAAAAAACUGCAAACGAUUAGUUUUUGGAUUUUUUCCUUAUUUGUUGUUAUGUCUUGCCAUAUGUUUUUUUAAAGAAUUUUCGUCCAGCCUGCCUCAGGUGAAUCGUUUCGAAACGAAAUGAGUUACACCUCAAGUUUAUUGUUUUUGCAGGUAGAUCAUAAAAGAGUGUGUGCAAAAAAAGAAUCCUCCAUUGAAAAUUCAAACAAUAACGACCGCAUUAAAAAACGUCUAAUUGUUUUAACCCAGUUCGUCCAAGUGCAAUUUCGAACGAGACGUUGACCCCCUGAAAAAGGAGAAUUUAAAAAGAUGUUGUCUCUGUUCAAAAUUGUAAUUGCGGGACUUGCAAUAUUUACGGAUAUUUACCUACGAAAAAAAAAAUUAAAGAAGAGAACCUCUUCAUAACAAACUAGAGACCUUGAAGCCAAAAAUGCAAAUGCGCCGAGGUUCGUAUACAGGAGCAUAUGCCGACUAUACACUAUAUUCAAAUGAAGCAAUGAACCGAAGCGCAAUUUAUUUACGUUGUUUUAUACACCGUAGAUGGGCCCGUCUAUCAGCAUCAUCUAUACCGAUUAUUAUAAGCAAAAAAAAAAAUAAUAUUUUCCUUGGCACAAUUUAUGGGGGAAUGAUGUGACAUGGUUCGCAAAAACAAACAAAAAACUCGUUAAAAUGGUUGCGCAUUUUUCACGACCAACAUCCAACUUUCUUGUUAUAUACCGUCGCUCGUAUAACAAUGCUAAAAACUGUGUUCUCUGGCGUUUAGAAGUCAGACAACGACUGGUUUUCAUUGUGCAAAAGAAAACGCUUCGGUCAAAGUCGAUGUCGGCAGCGCGUUAUAAAGUACCUCUAUACCAUAUUGGGUUAUGAGCAGUCGUGAUGAAACGGCGAUCUUUCUUUUGACACUCAAAGAUAAUUCGCCUUUUCAGCUUUAAAUAUUGCGCGCUAGAAGGCGAAAUAACAAAAGAAUGCGACAUAUUGUAGCGAUGGUACACCAUCGGCCUUCGUAACAUAAUGGAUCCCCAUCGGCGCAAUUAUAGACUUCUAAUCUCCAUCACUUUGAAUUUAAACGUCGGCAUUUAUAGGGACCGGGCCUAAUAAAUGGCUUGAUCGCACCUCCAUGAUGAUACUGUUCUAGCACUUAAAAUUUUUUUAAAAUGAAAAAGAGCUAAAUGAAGUAGGAUAACAUUUGUUGGCUUCUACCUGUAUACUUUCAGGCGCCGUGGUGAUGGACAUUAAUGCAACAGACAGGGCCUGGACGAUUAACAUUUCUGCACCUGCGGCAAAUCGAAGGGGGAAAAUGCAAAUGCUUGACUUGAGGUCGUAAUGAGGAAAACGCCGACUGUAAAUAAAUUGUCGUAUUUAUGCAUAGCCAAACAAACAGGACAGAACUCUAUCAAAGAGAGCCAACGGGCAGAGUAAUAAUCGAUUGUCUUGCCAAACUGAAUGGGAGACAGCCAAUAAUUUAUGCAUUUUUUUGGGUAAAAAACUUAAAACCUUCUAUCGGCCCUUGUUUUGCCAAUGCGAAUGAAUGAAGACGGUAAUGAGAAUUGAUGGUCAAAUUUUGAUUUGGGAUGGGCCUGUUGAAGGAUCGUCCCCAAAGUUGAUGUCGGACUGCUGUUGUCUGUAAAAUGAUCAUUUUUGGACGAAAUCCAAUCAACGUCCCGAGUGACCGCACUUUGCAUCCGUUUCAAGAUGAAGAAUUGAAAAGGUGUCAUUGCCAUGGCCAGCACACAAAAAUAUAUGCAACAUUUUUGGCUAGCCCUUAUUGCCUAUAAAAAUUCCAAACGUUAAAAAUCGCUUGUAACUUUCCAAACGAAAAAAAUAAAAGGCAAGUCUGGAACACAAUCCAACGUUUUCUUUUUCCUGUUGAAAUAUUAUUUUAUAGUUUUGCCUUUGCCAAAUUUUGUGCUGACUCAUUCAUUGGUUAGGAAAAUAGCAAAAAACUUUGGCUGGAUUUUAUUUUUUAUAGAUUUUGACUUGUCGUGUUACUCUGAUGUCCCGCAGUGCGUCUAGCAGCUUCUCGUGUGAUGUUGUCGAAAAAAAGGAUCGUAUUUGUCGCCAGACAACUCAAAAUAAAGUUUCAUGAUUGGAAAGAAUAAAAACUCUGAUUGCUUUUUAGAGAGAUAUGCUUUAUCCAAUGCUUAGAAAUGGGAGGCAUAUUUUUUAAAAAAUAAUGAUUUAAACGAAAGAAUGUUUGAAUCGUUGUCCAAGUCUUUUAUCCAUUUUCUUUUUCUUUCUUUUCUGAAGACAUAAUUUCUCGUGAUUUAUUCACGCACUUCUCCUAUAAACCAGCUGACUCACGUUUGUAUGGAAGAUGGCCAAACAUGUUACGGUUUCGGUUUUCCUUGUUAGUUUUUAUCAACUCGAUCUCAAGUGAAAAAAAACAACCGCGGAACAACGAAACGCAACCUAUCAUAAUUAUCGUGCACGGAAUACACUAAGAGGCGCGUCUAUUCGAAUUUUGAUUUACAACAGCCGGGCUUAUGUGUCUACAUGCCUAGUGGCUAUUACGUCUUGAAAUAAUAAAAGAGGGGUUUACAACUGCGAAAUUCAGCGUUAAGAAAAAAACACACUUCUAUAGUCGGCAGGUAGGGUCACCAAGUACAACAGAAAAAGAAGGUAAAGUAUCGAGUUAAUGAUGUGCAAUUUAGUGGGGUAGAGUAUCUAAAGUCAUCUGCUUGUAAAAAAGUGUAAAAUAGGUUUAUUUAAAUUACGUUCUCGGUCUUGUUUUAUAUACUGUACUUCAUUCAGCAGAUAGUAAACGUGUAAAAAACAAAAUUAAACAUUUGUUGAUAAGAUUAUGAUGGUUUUUAUUUUUGUAGCGGUCGCUUUCGUCUAGAAAGGAAAUUAUGCAAAUACAGGAGACGACUUUGUCUUUCUUUUUCUCUACUUUUCGUUUUGUUUUUUUGGUCGUUUUGUCGUAAUAUCUUACCCGUUCCCCUCAACUGUCCCAUUCCUUUGUUUUCUUUUAGAGUCUAACUACUUUUUAGUUGCCAUUCGCAUUACGCAAUUCGUACAAACAUGUCACGUUUUUAUUAGAGGAAGGUGUCGUUUAUGCAGUCUCGUACUGUACGUAUAGUUUUUAAGUAUAUCUAUAGACGUUGUAAAUGCAAAUUAAAUUUCAAAGAUCACACUUUGAAUUUUAUUCAUUCUGUCUCGUUAACUGCUUCCCUUCUCCAACAUCCGGAUUAAAAGAUGCAGAAUACAACGAACCCGACAUGUCAGCCAAUCUAAACGGUCAUAAAAAUGGAGGUUGCAGUCGGUCAGGUCAGACAGGGAAUCGGACGCUUGAAGGCCAGAUUCAUAGAGUCUUGUCAGAAGAAGAGAAAGGGAUGUCUGGUACGAGGGAGGCCACUGCGUGAGAAGCAGAAGGAUAACUUUGGUUUCCUGGUGCAGACUGGUACCACCACUUUCCCCAAGAGUUUUUUACCAGGAUUGCUGCACACUGUGGUCCAAACCGAUAAAACUGUCGCAGUUCAACGCUAAAUAUCCAAAAAAGGAGGGUGGAAGAUGGCAAGCAAGAGAGGUUGAACGUUGACUCAAGGAUUGCAGUGUGCUGUUUAUUUAUAUACUUGUGAUUGGUUAAUGUUAAAAAGGUUUAAAGCGUUCAGUUAACAAAUAAAUAUUCAAUGACCUGUUGAAUGUUUAAUCCCCGUGAUUGAACAGGUCAAAGUUAAAUCACAUCAGGGGAGUCACACAUUACUGUUUAAUUGACAGGGCACUAUCUGAAAGAAACACCAGAACAAAGAAAUCCAUCACCUGUCUAAUGUUGAACUGAAGGGAGACUUCAAAUUCAUUUGUCUAGACAGAAUCCAGUGUUGGCUGUGUCCGCUCCGGCGAAAGCUGGAACGGUUGGCACAUUUAAGGCUGCAAUCGCCGCUUCGGUGCUGUCUGUCCGGAUUACUUACUGCAAACUUGGACACUGGUGGCUGCGCCUGGCACUAAAGCAGUGCCUACUGCUGGAUUCAAAUGGUUUCCACAGUAACGGUCAGCUUCAACUCCAUUUGCAUCUCGAGCACCGGCGAUGAGAAGGAAAUCGUAUAAGCAGGUCGCAACAAGGGUAGUGCCAGCAGCACUAACGGUUGUACCCACGUUAGAGUUCGGAAAGGCGGCAUUAAUUUGGGCUGCAGCAACCGAAAUCGCACCAAUAUUAGUAUUUCCAACUACAACAGCUGCUGAAGUUGUGAUGGAGAAGGGAUCACCGGCAUUCGUGACCGAACAAAUUGACAAGCACAUCUGUGUUGCUCGCUACUCAUUACCAUUAUUCAAGAAUAAUUCAAACCUGUCCUGAAAUGAGCUCGGUUCGGAAGCAGAUGUUGUAGUUUUGAUUGUUGAGCUGACGAAUAGCGCCGCCAGUGGUAUCCUGCCAGUUAAACGAUUUCACUUUACCCGUAGAUGCCGUGUAAUACUGGAGGCAAUCUGUUGGGGCUAUAAAUCAAAACAAAACGAAAAGGAAAAUUGAUUUUUGAAAAAUUAACGAUGUGGUGGUGUAACGAAGACUAGUUUACCCAGGUAGGAGGCACCGCAAGGAAGCAAUGCGAUUUUGAUGUUCCAGGAACGUGUGGUUGUCCCUGUUCCAAAACUGAAUAUGAGCUGGACAUCGGUGGGAGUAAGGGCAGAAGACGGAACGUCCAGGAACUGCGUUAGUUUGCUGUUAUGUCUUUGGAUAUUACUGUGCUGCCCGCUGUUAUCGCCGCAAAUAAUGGGCACAGUUGAAGAUGAUCCGCCAGCUUGGAAAGUAUCAACGCAAGUUCCCAAUGUCGGUUGGGCUGUCGUGAAGGACACAAAGUCGAGCCUGAAUGAGAGUUGUAACGACAACAUUCCCAUCAUUUUCCUCUUAAGAUUAACAUUUUAAGCUGACCGGAUUUGGCAAAUGGGCUUCUUAAGCUGUUCCACAAACUUGGUGUCCAAUCUGAUGGUCAAUGCACAGGUGGAGGAGGCGCUAACGGGUGUAGUAGGAGACUGCCAGUACGUGUUGUUCAGCGUGACUGUACCGCCACACGCUGUAACCGCAUCUGUGAACCAAAGACGCAGGAACCGCUUGGUCGUCCACGAAACAAAGAGCAAACUGAUCCUGGGACGCAGAUUCCUGCGUCACCGCUAGGUGAAGUGCAGGCGUCGAAGGUGUCGAGAGGAUUGUCAAAAUUGGGAUUGUACGAAACAGGAAUUCUAUUUGCGAAAUUGGCGAACGGUCUCCACGUAUUCGCCGGUGAGAAACGAUUGUUGAAGAGGCCUGUGUUGAUUAUUGAGGCACCUAAACCACCGAGGGCAAACCGGCCUUCUGCUAGAUUGGCAUUCUCAUCGGCGGUAAUUCAAUGAUGGACUUACUACUAUUGUAAUAUUUCUUGUGUGGAUUGACUCUGGAUUGCAGGCUGCUGGAGACUGUUCGUCCUUCAUAUGGAAUGCCAUACCCUAAAAAAGCAAAACAUUUCAACCACGUAGGAAAAUAGCACAAUGAUCAUAGCCAUAAGCCUUAGCAAAAUACUCUUCUGAUUGAUACCUAGCAGCUGCUAAUUGUUCCUCUUCGUUACCAUCGUCACAAGCUCGGCUGACUUGUCCGAACAUCAAACCUACGGAAAGGAACAGACGUUUAUAGUUUAACGAAGACCUACGGAGACUGUGACGGAUCAACCGAGCUGGCCCAUCUUAUAUAGUCGAUACGGGUUGGACUGUCGACCCUAUAACUAUCCAUUAUGGUAAUUUGUCGUGCAGAGAUGGGAAAUGAUGAUCCUAGUGCAACAGAUUUGGCGAGGCCUGCUCAGAAAUUAAAGAAACUCAGCCCAAAUUCGGGAAUGGCGGUGGUUUCUGGCGGAUUAUGGGAUAAGUGAUGCUCUUUUGUAGGUGGAAGGGUACGAGGAAAGCCGCUCUGAAUAAAAAGCCAUUACAACUUUGAGCUUUCAAUCCAUAUUUUGAAAGGCAUUGACGCUUUCACGGGACCAAAAGUUCAAGGUGUCUGAAAGGAGACUGUGAUGCAGUGGAAUAUAAGGCAGGAAAUCGCAUUGGAAACAGUUCUGCUGUGUUGAUUCAGCCUUUUAAACCUCUUUUGCUCUAUUUAAACUCGUGGUUGGAACUCUUCCAUCAAAAGUGAGUAGGCUACAUGUUUUUCACAGUCACGGUAAUCUACUGAAAACCCAUUUUAAAAACUCCAGCACCAGGAGACGAUUGCAAAAUCCGACGUUAAGCGUAUCCGCCGGAGCGGGAAGAACAUUGGUGGCGGCAGCCACAGCCGCUUCGGUGCUGUCGGUCCGGUAAUUCAUUUUGAAUGAUUUGAUAGGAGCUGUGUAACAAAGACAUUCAGCUCAAACUGACCCAGCAGCUGCCGGAUUGAGUGCGUUACCACAGUAACGGUCCGCCGCAAUCCCUGCCGCAUCUCGACCACCACCGAUGAGCAAAAAAUCGUACAUGCAGGUGGCUGUGGUGACGCCAUUCACCACAGCACUAGUGCCCACUCCGGAGAGAACGCCAGCAGCAGCAGCGGCUGUAGCAGCGUUAGUUUGAGCUGUUGCAAGAUUGGCUUGAGCGGUUGCGAGGGCCGCAUUAGCAGCCGUGAUAGUAGCUGCAACACCUCCCGCCACCGCCGUGGCUACGUUAGCUGUGGCAAUUGUUACUGCUGUUACUGCUCCCGUCACAAGAGCGGCAGCAGCAGCGGCAGCAUUGUUUGUCGGUGUUGUGAUAGAAAAAGCAUCGCCAUUGGUGACCGUACAAGCUGAUAAGCACACUUCCGUUGCACGCUAGGCAUGAAUUGAAUUUGAAGUAGUUGUAAUGUUAGUUGAAUGGCCUUUCUUUGUUAGCGGGUAUUUAUUAACAAAGAUGAUUCGUACCUGUCCUGAAAGCAGUUCGGUCCUAAAACAAAUGUUGUAAUUUUGGUUGUUGAGUUGGCGGAUGGUGGUAGUGGCCACGUCUUGCCAGUUAAAUGAUUUAACUUUACCAGAGCUUGUGGUGAAGUAUUGCAGGCAGUCGGCAGGAGCUUGAGUCAUAAUCAAGGUAGGAGGCACCGCACGGGAGCAUUGCGAUUUUGAUGUUCCAUGAACGCGUAGCUGUUCCUGUUCCAAAGUUGAACACGAGUUGGACAUCAGAGGGUGUGGUGGCAGACGAUGGCACGUCGAUGUACACUGUGAUGGGCUUCUUUAGUUGCUCCACGUACUUGGUGUUCAAUCGGACUGUCAGCGUGCAGCUGGAUGAAGCGCUAACGGCCGUAAUGGGAGACUGCCAGUACGUGUUGUUUAGAGUAACGCUUCCGCCACAGCCAGUGAUGGCGUCUGUUAAAAAUGGACGCAGGAACCACUAGGUUUGCCACCAAACAAGGAACAGGCCGAUCCUGGAACGCAAAUUCCUGACUCGCCGCUAGGUGAAGUGCAUCCGUCGAAGUCGUCGAGAGGGCUAUCGAAAUUUGGAUUGUACGUAAUAGGAAUUCUGUUUGCUAAACUGUUAAACGGUCUCCACGUAUUCGCUGGAGUAAAUCGGUUGUUAAAGAG